ACUUUCAAAUUUUGCUGUUGAAACCACGCAGCCUAAGAAAGUUCGGCUCCUCCAGUGACUUAGGAGGGCGAGUCUACGGUGAUUGCUGGUUGGGCUAGUUACAGGCAAGAAGGAAGCGUUCGCCCGCAAUUGUGAUAUAAAAGUAAACCUUCCACUAAACUGAACGCGUGGGUUUCUACGUCGUCUUCUCUUAGCACGCCACAGUGGAAAAACGAUUUUGGCUAAAAGAGAAAUUCAGCCAGAAGAGGCAACCAAAGGAGAUUACUAAAAAAAAGCGCUGUACCUGCCACAUAUGAAUAAAUUUGGGAGAAAACUGUUUCAUGCACGCACCAAUUGCAAGGAGACGUGCAGGCGAGCCCGAACUCAACGAGAUCGAGACGGCGAAUUUUCUAUGCGGUGGACUUAUAAUGGAUUUUCUUCCUAACCAGGCAAAGCCAAGUUACUCUUUCCAGGACUCUCCAUACUCUUGGGCAAGUCGCUGGCGGUGCUCGUACAACAACGGCGUGACCUUGUGAAGUUUGCUAUUAUUGUGACUCUGGAUAUGGCGACGGUGGAAGGCCAGACCAGAGUAGUAACGAAA